ACGCUGGCGGCGUGCUUAACACAUGCAAGUCGAACGAUGAACCUCCUUCGGGAGGGGAUUAGUGGCGAACGGGUGAGUAACACGUGGGCAAUCUGCCCUUCACUCUGGGACAAGCCCUGGAAACGGGGUCUAAUACCGGAUACGAGCCUCCAAGGCAUCUUGGAGGUUGGAAAGCUCCGGCGGUGAAGGAUGAGCCCGCGGCCUAUCAGCUUGUUGGUGAGGUAACGGCUCACCAAGGCGACGACGGGUAGCCGGCCUGAGAGGGCGACCGGCCACACUGGGACUGAGACACGGCCCAGACUCCUACGGGAGGCAGCAGUGGGGAAUAUUGCACAAUGGGCGAAAGCCUGAUGCAGCGACGCCGCGUGAGGGAUGACGGCCUUCGGGUUGUAAACCUCUUUCAGCAGGGAAGAAGCGAGAGUGACGGUACCUGCAGAAGAAGCGCCG
rnacentral:rRNA from 1 species